rnacentral:tRNA from 1 species
UGAGGUAUGGCGCAAUUGGUUAGCGCACCGUGCUGAUGCCGCGGGGGUUUUGGGUUCGAGUCCCAAUACCUCAA